UGGGGAAUAUUGCGCAAUGGGGGCAACCCUGACGCAGCAACGCCGCGUGAAGGAUGACGGUCUUCGGAUUGUAAACUUCUUUAAGUGUGGAAGAAAUUGACGGUACACACAGAAUAAGCCACGGCUAACUACGUGCCAGCAGCCGCGGUAAUACGUAGGUGGCGAGCGUUGUCCGGAUUUACUGGGUGUAAAGGGCGUGUAGGCGGGAUUACAAGUCAGAUGUGAAAUACCGGGGCUUAACUCCGGGGCUGCAUUUGAAACUGUAGUUCUUGAGUGCCGGAGAGGAAAGCGGAAUUCCUAGUGUAGCGGUGAAAUGCGUAGAUAUUAGGAGGAACACCAGUGGCG
rnacentral:rRNA from 1 species